GUACAUACUUAUUAAGUUUAUGAGUUUAUUGAAGAAUCAUUGAUAAUGUAAAAUGUUUUAUCAAUCCUUAUAUCUAUGCAUUCCCUUUUAUUUCAUUCAUCUCAAAUACACCUCCGCUUCGCUUUCUCGACCUCGUACAUUUCACUCUUCUGCAGAAGUAUUCGGGUUUUCCCCCAAAUUAUACUACGAUCAGACUUCUUCGCAACGAUUCGAACUCACGCAAUUGCAACCAUGAUCGAAUCUCCGAACCUUAGCCUGUACUUUUUCCCCUUUCAACUCAGUGUUCCACGUCCCUGAUCCUGAAAUGUUCUAUACUAAGAAGAUAGCAACUCGGUGGAAUAGGGCACCUGAAGUUUUGUUUCAAAAUAGUCAAUAUUCAACUCCAAUUGAUAUUUGGGUCGUGGGCUGUAUAUUUGGUGAGAUGGUACUUGGACAGCCAAUACACAAUGUUUUUUAUUGCAUUGGUGAGAUAGAGCUGAUUUUCAGGUAAUUUUUGACACAAAAUAGUUUAUUUCACUUUUUGGAUUUCAAUCAAACCAACAUGUGCCUUAUCAAGGUGACAUAGUACUGCUACUACAAUAGUUAUGACAUUCUCUAAACUUGCCAAAAGUCAUUUGUAGAAUUCCAUAAGAUUCUUUUUUUCAUGCAUUACAAAGCUAUUCAUCUUUAAAAAAGUGUCCCUACACUGUCGAUUCCCUAUUGAUAUUUAUAUCUCCUAAGUCAUGUCAAAUAAAGUUGUCCUUGAAUGAAUCACCAUGUUUAUAGAAAAUAUUACUUGAUUGAAUACCAACACGCUUCUUCUAGAUUUGUAUUCCAGAACAUUACACAUACUCUAUAGUAUUAUGCAAUGGGAAAUAAGGAUGUUAAAAAUGUCUUCGGUGGAUUUCGUAGUUGUGCUCAAACAUUGAUUAUUGUUUUCCAUCUCAGUAUAUGAAUUCCUCAAUUGAUUCAUCAUCCAUCUUAUAUUCACAACAGUGAGAAGCCAACUUGAGAUAUUAACGAAUUCAGACAACAAUCAUUUAUUCUAUUUUCAUUCAGGUAACAACUUCAUAGCAAGGUUAGACUUAGUUUCCCCUUUUUAAAUAAGCUAUGCAAAUCAAAACAACAUUUACUAUAUUUCUUUUAUUGACUCUAGUAUUGUUCGUAUGACAUAUAUCUUUCACACAUUUUCAUUAUAUUUUGUAACUAGCCUACAUACACAUAUAUAAUAUUUUAUUUAGUAAGUUAUUUAAUGUUUGAACAAAUGAAACUGAACAUACGGUUCGUCACUAGUUAAAGAAUUUUGUUAUAUUGGCUUGUGGGCAUCCCAUUUUUUUAAUAGUAGCAGGAACUAUGGUCGGUUCUCUCUUUCUGGUUACAGUGAACAAAAGCCGCACAAGGUGAGGAAGGGAGCCGAAAUGUCUAGCUUCAAAUUCUAGUGAUAGGACUGUUUCGUAUGCUAGAAAUUGUCUCGAGACAACGAAUCAAAAUCAGCAGCCACCGCCUUUUUGCCACACCGAAGCCUUAGCCGUGGGAGUAUUACCUGAAAGAAAGAAGCAUAAGCAAGUAUCAAAGGUAGUUCUUACCCUUGGUAUAGUAGGUGGAACUAUUGGAGGAGUAGCAGUUUUUUUGCUGAUUUUUUUUUGUUAGAAGAGGAAAUUCUAGAAGCAAAAUGUAGAAGAAUCCCCCGACAAGAUUUAUAUCGGAGAAUGCAGCUUCCGGAUACACCUCUAAGUUUCUUUCUGAUGCAAGAUAUAUAUCUCAAACAAAGAAAUUCGGAGCACUUGGCCUGCCAAACUAUAAGAGUUUUUCAUUGGAAGAGAUUGAGGCAACUACAAACAACUUCGACACAGCUUCUUUCAUGGGUGAAGAUUCUUAUGGAGAGAUGUACAAAGGUCAGCUGAAGAAUGGAUCAUUUGCUGUUAUUAGAUGUAUUAAGAUGAAAAAAAGAUACAGCACUCAGAACUUCAUGCAGCAAAUGGAACUUAUCUCAAAACUUAGGCAUCGUCAUUUGGUUAGCGCUCUCGGACACUGCUUCGAAUGUUCUUUAGAAGAUUCAAGUGUUAGCAGAAUAUUUCUUGUCUUUGAAUAUGCACUGAACUUAAGCGCCAAGAGGAAGUUUCUCUCGCUCUCAAGCUGGCAGUGACUUAUAUAGGAGCUGCAAUGGAAAUGGAAAUGGAAAUUCCUCUGCAUCGAAAGUGAUCACACAAAUGAAGAUGGCGUCGAUGAAACAGAUGAAAAAGACCUUAGUAAUGAAUUUUGAUUUGUACUUUUUUUUUUUCAUUUUGACUUGGUUGUAAUUUGGAUUGUAUUAUCUUUUUAAUUUGGUUGACAAAUGAUCAGUAAUAAUUUAAUUUUUUGAAUCAUUUUCAGUAAUGACUAUGUAAGUACU